CCUACGGGAGUCAGCAGUGGGGAAUAUUGCGCAAUGGGCGAAAGCCUGACGCAGCGACGCCGCGUGAGGGAUGAAGGUCUUCGGAUCGUAAACCUCUGUCAGCAGGGAAGAACGGGCACUGUGCUAAUCAGCAGUGAAUUGACGGUACCUGCAAAGGAAGCACCGGCUAACUCCGUGCCAGCAGCCGCGGUAAUACGGAGGGUGCGAGCGUUAAUCGGAAUUACUGGGCGUAAAGCGCUCGUAGGCGGUAUGUCAAGUCAAGGGUGAAAUCCCCGCGCUCAACGUGUGAACUGCCUUUGAAACGGGCAAACUGGAGUGUGUGAGAGGAUAGUGGAAUGCCAGGUGUAGGAGUGAAAGCCGUAGAUAUCUGGAGGAACAUCAGUGGCGAAGGCGACUAUCUGGCACAUAACUGACGCUGAGGAGCGAAAGCGUGGGUAGCAAACAGGAUUAGAUACCCUGGUAGUC
rnacentral:rRNA from 1 species